GACGAACGCUGGCGGCGUGCCUAAUACAUGCAAGUAGAACGCUGAAGGAGGAGCUUGCUUCUCUGGAUGAGUUGCGAACGGGUGAGUAACGCGUAGGUAACCUGCCUGGUAGCGGGGGAUAACUAUUGGAAACGAUAGCUAAUACCGCAUAAUAGUAGAUGUUGCAUGACAUUUGCUUAAAAGGUGCAAUUGCAUCACUACCAGAUGGACCUGCGUUGUAUUAGCUAGUUGGUGGGGUAACGGCUCACCAAGGCGACGAUACAUAGCCGACCUGAGAGGGUGAUCGGCCACACUGGGACUGAGACACGGCCCAGACUCCUACGGGAGGCAGCAGUAGUGAAUCUUCGGCAAUGGACGGAAGUCUGACCGAGCAACGCCGCGUGAGUGAAGAAGGUUUUCGGAUCGUAAAGCUCUGUUGUAAGAGAAGAACGAGUGUGAGAGUGGAAAGUUCACACUGUGACGGUAUCUUACCAGAAAGGGACGGCUAACUACGUG
rnacentral:rRNA from 1 species